rnacentral:rRNA from 1 species
UACGUAGGGUGCAAGCGUUAAUCGGAGUUACUGGGCGUAAAGCGUGCGCAGGCGGCUUUGCAAGACAGAUGUGAAAUCCCCGGGCUCAACCUGGGAACUGCAUUUGUGACUGCAUGGCUGGAGUGCGGCAGAGGGGGAUGGAAUUCCGCGUGUAGCAGUGAAAUGCGUAGAUAUGCGGAGGAACACCGAUGGCGAAGGCAAUCCCCUGGGCCUGCACUGACGCUCAUGCACGAAAGCGUGGGGAGCAAACAGG